rnacentral:rRNA from 1 species
GAUGAACGCUGGCGGCGUGCCUAAUACGUGCAAGUCGAGCGAACGGACGAGAAGCUUGCUUCUCUGAUGUUAGCGGCGGACGGGUGAGUAACACGUGGAUAACCUACCUAUAAGACUGGGAUAACUUCGGGAAACCGGAGCUAAUACCGGAUAAUAUUUUGAACCGCAUGGUUCAAAAGUGAAAGACGGUCUUGCUGUCACUUAUAGAUGGAUCCGCGCUGCAUUAGCUAGUUGGUAAGGUAACGGCUUACCGAGGCAACGAUGCAUAGCCGACCUGAGAGGGUGAUCGGCCACACUGGAACUGAGACACGGUCCAGACUCCUACGGGAGGCAGCAGUAGGGAAUCUUCCGCAAUGGGCGAAAGCCUGACGGAGCAACGCCGCGUGAGUGAUGAAGGUCUUCGGAUCGUAAAACUCUGUUAUUAGGGAAGAACAUAUGUGUAAGUAACUGUGCACAUCUUGACGGUACCUAAUCAGAAAGCCACGGCUAACUACGUG